GUGCUCCCCUCAGCAAUACAUAUACUAAAAUUGGAAUACAAAGAAAAUUAGCAUAGUCCUUGCACAAAGAUGGCACACAAAUUUGUGAAGUGUUCUAUAUUUUU